rnacentral:lncRNA from 1 species
AUUCGGUUCCAAAGCCAGCUUGUCUCUUGACAAAGCUGCUUCCUCAGUUUCUCCGCAGCGCACUCAUAUGCCGCCGUAAUCGGAGCACAGUGUUUUAAUUGUAAUUUUGUUUUUUCAGACAGGGCCUCACAGUCAGUCCAAACUGGUCUUGAACCAAUGGGACCCUCUGCCUCGGGAGCGCCGGGAGGAAAAGCUUGCGCCACCACACCCGGUUUAUUUUCUGAUUUGAAAACUACCAUCACUGAGUAAUGCUUCAGUCUGCACGCAGAAGCCUAGUGCUUUUCCUUCACCCAGAUGAAGAAUCGGCCCCGCGGGGCACCGCUGCGAGUCAAUCGGUUUCCCGGGAGAAAACAGGGCAGGGAUCUGAUAAGACACUGAAGGCACAGCAGAAGCUGCAUCAGGGGCGGGUGAUCGGUGACAGCAGCUGCCGCCGUGGGGCUCGCCACGACAAAGCUGCUACUGCUUCUCCUGCUCCCCUCUCGGAGUCAGGGCUCUGCGCAACAAACCAGCGCUCAGGAACGCCCCACAGCCCCGGCUGAGCAGGGAGACCCGAAACUCGAAACCCAACUCCGCCCGGGCCAGCCCCCGAGACUCUCACCGGCGGGCUCCCCUCCCCCCAGGGAGCGCCGCCGCCCACGCCCGCCCGCGGCGGCCUCUGCGUUUGUUUCCCGGAUCCAUGCACCACCCAACAUCCUCCACGAUUCCCCUCCCCCUGCAGAGGACCGCACUGCGCCUGCGCCACUCUUCUCCCCCUCCCUGCCCCGACCACGUCCACCCUGCUAUCGGCUCCGCCCCACUCCCUGUAGACCAAUCCCAGUUCCCGAUCUGGGGGCAUCACAUUGGUGCUUCGCAGACGCGCCUGUCUGUCUGUGGCGGCCGUCUUCAGGAACGUGGCACUCCAAGGAUGCCAUCCACGGUGACGCUGGGAAUGGCAGUGGCAGGUGCCACAGAGGGGGCUACCAGCACUGCUAUUCCAGGGGACUGAAUCCAGGGCUCUGCAGAGGUUCAGAUGGAGGCGUCGGUGUUCGCAACCACAGCAGCAGACCAUGGGCAACCAGGAUGUACAACACGCGUUUCCUACACGCUGUGACAGGACAGAUGGGGGCGGACGCAGGCCUGGGCGUGGCUGGGCUCGGCGCUCGCUCCUCCAUCCGGAAGUGCUCUGCCCGGAAGUGGCUCGACCCGGAAGUGCUCACGCGCUUCCCGGAAGCGCGCAACAGAGGUGACGCCCGUUAAACCGCAGCUUUGUGAAAGCCUCCCGCGGGCGAUGAAGCCGCACGCAGCCAUUUUUACUUUCCGGCGCGCGGUGCGCAGGGCGAGUCCUGCCUGUCGCACGCUCCUUCGCGAGGCUAGCCUAGCCACAUUGCUUAGUCGGGGCUGUGCUUUCGCUGGCGCGUGCCUCAUAACUCUGUUCGCCCACGCGCAGGGCCGCGGUUGCCCGGUGCGCCAUCUGCCGGCCACUAGACCACUGCGCCGCGACAGUCCACGCGGAGCCCGACCGGAAGCCUGUGCGCGCCGCCGAUUUCGCUCAUGCGCAUAUGGGCAGGAGGGGAGUCCUGGCCCGCGGGCGCGCCCCAGUGGCCACGCAGGGCGGCCUGCAGCGCAAGGACGCCGCGGGAACUGCGGAGGCUUUUGUGUUUUGAGCUGGUUGGCCACGUAGUCAGCUGGGCGAGAGCUUGCCGUGUAGCCCAGGCUGGCGACGAUCUCGCGAUCCUCCUGCUUCGGCCUCCUUAGUGCAGAAAUGGAGGUGAGAUAGAAGUAGUAUAGAUAGACAACUUGUAAUUUAAAAAUUGGACUUUUAAGGCCUGGGGUUUAGCUCAGUGGUGUAAGCGCCUGCCUGGCAAGCUCAAGGUCGUGAGUUCGAUCCCCGGAACCAAAAAAAAAAAAAAAAAAAAUUGGACUUUUAAUAAAAACUGCGCUUUGCGAUACAAAGCCCUUAAAAAAAUUACUAAAAUUCUGGGAGACUCAUUAAACCCCGGCCUGCCUUUGCCUGCGCAUUGGCCCUUCCCCAGGGAAUAGGCAGCCCCCCGGGGCGGGCGGCUUCCCCUUACCAGGACUCCAGGCUGUCCCGAGAUCCGGCCUACGCCCUUCCCGCUGGGGAGGGAACCCCGCCUUCACCCCUUACCGGAGUCCCUGUAGAGGGAUAGGGUGUGCGGAUUUCCACCCCGAGUCUCCUACAAACACCCGCGGAACUACAGGCGGCCUGACUGUCCCGUCUGCGGACUGAGGAAUUCUCCCCAGUAAGCCGCUUUAUGUCCGGAAAUUCCUUUGCUGUGACGGAGUGACUCAGGCUUCCUUCUUCCACCUCGGGAACCUCCUGGAACCCCUGCUGGGUGACGCGAUUACAGGCCUGUGCCACUUCAUGGCCCUGCCCGUGACUGUGGUCCUGCCAUGACUCCUGGUCUGCCUUGGCCUUCCAGGCUCUGGGAGGAGGGGGCGUCCCUCCAGCCCCUUCCUCGGGCCCUGAGAGAUGUGGGUGCUCCCACCCUGCAGUCCAGAAAGCCGGUGCAGGAGGAGCUUCCUUCCGCCUCUUUCUCUCCAUUCAGCAUGUCCAGCAUAGAGGACUUGGACGAAAGCUCCCGUGCCACAGG